rnacentral:misc_RNA from 1 species
AAGUCGUAACAAGGUUUCCGUAGGUGAACCUGCGGAAGGAUCAUUAGAAAAUCUGGCUGCAAAGCCUCUAUUUUGUGCACCGAAUGCCUUAUGUGUGGAAGCGACGCGAGGACACUUAUGAACAAUACAACUUUCAACAGUGGAUCUCUCGGCUCUU